CCUUGGACUGGGCUGCUGCUGCUAGUCGGCCGUGAGGCUGGCGAACGUACGUGCCGAGGGGGGUAAGGGGGGGAGACUCUGGACGCUUGACCUCAAAUCAGGUAGGACUACCCGCUGAACUUAAGCAUAUCAAUAAGCGGAGGAAAAGAAACUAACGAGGAUUCCCCUAGUAACUGCGAGUGAAGCGGGAAGAGCUCAAAUUUCGAAUCUGGCGGUCUCUGGCCGUCCGAGUUGUAAUCUAGAGAAGCGUCUUCCGCGCCGGCGCCGUGUACAAGUCUCCUGGAAGGGAGCGUCGUAGAGGGUGAGAAUCCCGUCUUUGACACGGAUCGGCCGGUGCUAUGUGAUGCGCUCUCGACGAGUCGAGUUGUUUGGGAAUGCAGCUCAAAACGGGUGGUAAACUCCAUCUAAAGCUAAAUACGGGCGAGAGACCGAUAGCGAACAAGUACCGUGAGGGAAAGAUGAAAAGAACUUUGGAAAGAGAGUUAAACAGUACGUGAAAUUGCUGAAAGGGAAACGCUUGAUGUCAGUCGCGUUCGCCGGGGAUCAACCUUGCUUCUCGCUCGGUGUACUUCCCGGCGGACGGGUCAGCGUCGGUCUCGCUCGCCGUACAAGGGCGAAGGGAACGUGGCACCCUUCGGGGUGUGUUAUAGCCCUUCGUCGCAUGCGCCGGUCGGGACCGAGGAUCUCAGCACGGCCUUCAGGUCUGUCGCU
rnacentral:rRNA from 1 species